ensembl:snRNA U6 U6 spliceosomal RNA
GUGCUCACUUCAGCAGCACAUAUACUAAAACGGGAAAGAUGCAGAGAUUAGCAUGGCCCCCACAUAAGGAUGACAUGCAAAUUCGUGAAGUCUUCUGUAUUUUU